GUUUUGAAGUGCUGGUCAGAAAGUGGGUGUGCCAUCUAUUGGAACAAGUGGUAAUCUUAAGGAGCAAGGUUUGGUGAAUAUGGCGGAUUUGAUGUGGAAUUU